rnacentral:rRNA from 1 species
UAACUGCUCGAAAGGGUGGCUAAUACCGCAUGAGACCUGAGGGUGAAAGCGGGGGAUCGCAAGACCUCGCGCAAUUGGAGCGGCCGAUGCCCGAUUAGCUAGUUGGUGAGGUAAAGGCUCACCAAGGCGACGAUCGGUAGCUGGUCUGAGAGGACGACCAGCCACACUGGGACUGAGACACGGCCCAGACUCCUACGGGAGGCAGCAGUGGGGAAUUUUGGACAAUGGGGGCAACCCUGAUCCAGCCAUGCCGCGUGCAGGAUGAAGGCCUUCGGGUUGUAAACUGCUUUUGUCAGGGACGAAAAGGACCGUGUUAAUACCAUGGUCUGCUGACGGUACCUGAAGAAUAAGCACCGGCUAACUACGUGCCAGCAGCCGCGGUAAUACGUAGGGUGCAAGCGUUAAUCGGAAUUACUGGGCGUAAAGCGUGCGCAGGCGGUUCUGUAAGACAGAUGUGAAAUCCCCGGGCUUAACCUGGGAAUUGCAUUUGUGACUGCAGGACUAGAGUUCAUCAGAGGGGGGUGGAAUUCCAAGUGUAGCAGUGAAAUGCGUAGAUAUUUGGAAGAACACCAAUGGCGAAGGCAGCCCCCUGGGAUGCGACUGACGCUCAUGCACGAAAGCGUGGGGAGCAAGCAGGAUUAGAUACCCUGGUAGUCCACGCCCU